GUAUACAGAAGUAAAGAGGAUAUAAGAAAUAAUAAGAAAAACAUAACAUAACAUACCAAAGAGGGGCAACAGCUAUAACCAACUAAUGUGAUAACUGAAGUGCAGUAAAUAGUAAGGACUAACAACAUUACAACAGUGUUAGAUAAGCCAACUAUGAGACAAAUGCUACCUCCUACUACCGGUAAAAUAAAUAAAAAUCAGGUAACAGAUACAAUGCACCAAUCUAUCCUAACGGGAAAUACGACAACGCUCAACCAACUUCUAACUUUCUACCCUAAUCCACAACAUCUAUAACUUCCUACCCUAUCUAAGAUCAUGUCCUCGGAAAGUUGGAUCUACAUCAUCUCCUGGCAAAUCACCUCUCUCCAAUACUUCUUCGUCCUACCUCUACCUCUCCUAAAAACCCACAAUCUUUCACACCUCCUCAUUGGCGCCUCUGCGCACCUCCUCUUCUCUAUAUUUACUCAAAUGCUGGCUCUAGCUUCAUAAAUCUGUUUUUUGUUUUUGU
rnacentral:misc_RNA from 1 species